rnacentral:rRNA from 1 species
UACGUAGGGCGCAAGCGUUAUCCGGAAUUAUUGGGCGUAAAGAGCUCGUAGGCGGUUUGUCGCGUCUGCCGUGAAAGUCCGGGGCUCAACUCCGGAUCUGCGGUGGGUACGGGCAGACUAGAGUGAUGUAGGGGAGACUGGGAUUCCUGGUGUAGCGGUGAAAUGCGCAGAUAUCAGGAGGAACACCGGUGGCGAAGGCGGUUCUCUGGGCAUUACCUGACGCUGAGGAGCGAAAGUGUGGGGAGCGAACAGG